rnacentral:lncRNA from 1 species
AGUUAAAAAAUAGGCUACCAUAUGAGAAUUGGUUUAAUAACCGGCCACCAGACAGGAAUUGGUUUUACAAUCGGCCACCAGACGAGAAUUGGUUUUGAAAACUAAUUUCCAAAUGAUAAAUGACUUUCAAAUAGUCUACCAGACGAGAACUGGUUUUUGAUGUUUGAUUUUUCAUGCUAUGGGCAUAUGCUCGACGAAUGAGAUUAUAUGCAUGGCUUAACGCUAGAGCUAAGUGACAUGAUUAAUGAAU